GAGUAUAUCAAGCUUAAUACAUAAAUAGUAGAUUAUAAAUUGAUCAUUUUUUUAGUCCCUAUUCUGCUGAUAUCUUCAUUUACCUCCAAAGAAGGUGUACCCCACUUAGUGAGUAAAAGCUGUUUAAACCAGAGCCAGGUACACUGAGUUGGCUCUGGAGAAUGUGAGCAAUAUACCAUUUGGUGUUCUAAUUUGUUUAGAUUUCCUUUACAUACUUCACCAGAGAGAUAUCUUUG